rnacentral:lncRNA from 1 species
GGGAAAGGCGGGGCCACGGUUAGGUAGGUGUGCGCCUGCGCGGAAGCACCGGAAGUUGGGAGUUAGGCUCGCCACCCGGGUGCCUGGCGCUCCGUGCGUCUUGCUACUCACAGAACGUUCUGGAAGUUUGGGAGGCGCCGUGGCCCCAGGAACCUCCUGAUCUGGUAGGUGUGUUUGCAGCUACCGAGGACCUGGCUUUUGAGGUUUCUGUUGCUUCGUUCUUCGGAGAGCGUGCGUUUUUCCUCAGACUUGCGGAGGCCCCGUCUUUGCCUCAGGGCGUUGGCAGAGUGAGAGGGCGUCCUCCUCACCCUUUUCUUCCUUCAAGAGUUGUGGGGAAAGGACUUUCCUUAUGGUUUUCAUGAAGAGUCGUAGAAGUGCUUCCUUUUCAGAAGCGCUGUUGUGGUGCAGGCUUUGAAUUUGUGUUUUAUUUACUUCAGGUGUUGUUUGUAACCUGUCGUUCCCCACCCCAGACCCAACCGCAGCGGGGGUGUGGGGAGGACAGAGAACCUCAAGAAUGGAAGCGGCGGGGAAGAUCUCGGAGACCAACCUUUCACCUGUCAGUUGAGAAAAGUGGCCAUUCCCCAGCCUGGGGCGCAAAUGUUGGCACCAGGCCCCGGCCAUUCGGCCCGGGGGCACCCUGCGCCUCUCAGAGGAGGCGGACUCAGACGUACACCUGUUCCAGGACUCUACGGAGCCAUAGGGCUUCUCGGGUGCCAUCCUCAGAUGAGGAGGUGGUGGAGGAACCUCAGAACCACAAUGCACAGAUGUCCUUGGGCACCAAGGGGCUGAAAGUCAACCUGUUUCCUGGCCUGAGCCUGUCGCCCUGAAGGCCAAUCUGUGCCCUCGGAACCGCUCAGCUGAGGAGGGGGAGCCUGUGGAGAGCAAGCCAAGCCAGGAGGAGUCUGUGGUGCAGCGUUCCAAGUCUUGCAAGGUCCCGGGGCUGGGGAAGCCCCUUGCGUUACCUCCCAAGCCAGAGAAAUCCUCAGGGUCAGAAGGAUCAUCACCCAACUGGCUAUAAGCCCUGAAGCUCGAAGAAGAAGGUCUGAGAAGUCCUCGAGGUCCUUCCAUCUGGCAGUCUCAGGCAAUGCCCAUUCCUGUGGGGUCCCCGGGGAGGAGACAGCUGGAGCCCCACCAGGCCCCAGGCUGCAGCCUCUGUCCCCUCCACAUCUGAGGAGCAGCUGGGGAGGCACAUUUAUGCACUUUGUAUCCCUCCGCCCUUCUUGACUCUACCCCCUCCCUCCUGACCAGAUUCAGGCAUUAGUGGUAAAGGUUUGGUCCCUCCUCCCUCAGUCUCUUGACAACCGCCCCUCUGCUUCCUCCUCCAGCCUCCGUUGGGUUUUCUUUUGAUAUCAAUUUAUAGCAUUUUUUAUAAAAGCCUUUCAUUUUUGUAACAGGUGGAGCCCUGCCCCCUCCCAAGCCUCCCUCUGUCCUGCCAGGUGCCCCACAGAGACCAAUAACAUUUUGCCACUUGAAACAAUAAAGUUUUUUGGGGAAAAAAAAUCUUGGGAUUA